rnacentral:miRNA from 1 species
CCCUUGUACCAGAUGCUCUAU